AAAUUGAAGAGUUUGAUCAUGGCUCAGAUUGAACGCUGGCGGCAGGCCUAACACAUGCAAGUCGAACGGUAACAGGAAGAAGCUUGCUUCUUUGCUGACGAGUGGCGGACGGGUGAGUAAUGUCUGGGAAACUGCCUGAUGGAGGGGGAUAACUACUGGAAACGGUAGCUAA
rnacentral:rRNA from 1 species